rnacentral:tRNA from 1 species
GGUCCCAUAGCUCAACUGGAUAGAGCAACGGUUUUCUAAACCGUAGGUCGUGGGUUCGAGUCCCGCUGGGACUA